GCCGGGCGCGGUGGUGCGUGCCUGUAGUCCCAGCUACUCGGAAGGCUGAGGUAGGAUGAUUGCUUGAGCCCAGGAGUUCUGGGCUGUAGUGUGCUAUGCCGUUACGGUGUCUGCACUAAGUUCGGCAUCGAUAUGGUGACCUCCCGGGAGUAGGCGACCACCAGGUUGCCUAAGGAGGGGUGAACUGGCCCAGGUUGGAAACGGAGCAGGUCAAAACUCCUGUGCUGAUCAGUAGUGGGAUCGUGCCUGUGAAUAGCCACUGCACUCCAGCCUGGGUAACAUAGCGAGGCCCAGUCUCU
rnacentral:SRP_RNA from 1 species